CGGGUGAAUAAUGUCUGGGAAACUGCCUGAUGGAGGGGGAUAACUACUGGAAACGGUAGCUAAUACCGCAUAACGUCGCAAGACCAAAGAGGGGGACCUUAGGGCCUCUUGCCAUCGGAUGUGCCCAGAUGGGAUUAGCUAGUAGGUGGGGUAAUGGCUCACCUAGGCGACGAUCCCUAGCUGGUCUGAGAGGAUGACCAGCCACACUGGAACUGAGACACGGUCCAG
rnacentral:rRNA from 1 species